UACACCUUUAUUUGCACAUUUGCAACCAUUUCUACUCAUGCUUUGCUAUAAACAGCCGUAUGUCCGUCUAUCUGGAAGUGAACAAACAAGAAAAAAGUAAGAUACAUAUGUCUCCUGUACCUUCCAGCUACAGCUCCACCUUCCUGGAACUAUAGGUAGAAAACUAAAAUGAACUAUUAAAUUGCUCUUGCCUAUCUUGGAGGUACAGCUAUACACCUUAGGAAGAAAACAAAUUAUCUCACCUCUACCUUUACUCUUUGGUUCAUCUAAUAAGAACCAGCAGCAAAAGCUUUAUCAUGUAAACGGCAGCAGAACUCAGAACAUAAACAUCACCAAUCACAUCUCUUCUUGGCCAGCUGUUCAAUUCAUACCAACCAAUAAAUUUAAGCUUUCCCAUACCUUUCUUGCUUUCUUCUCAAUGACAGAUUAAAGAUAACAAGAUCAAGCUCAUAUAGUGAGUUGAAAAGCCUGCAACAGGCAGCAGUGCUCGAGAUAUUAUCUAUUGUAUUAUUAGAAUGAACGGACUAGAUUUAACUAGCAAACAAGAAUGGUACAGAUUUAAAGAAGCUAAUAUAGAUUUGUACGUAGGAGUCAAAACAUUUUUGACCUAGGCCAGAUUGGAAUCGAGAAGCCACUCAAGUACAUCCAAAAAGAACACGUACAAGUAAAUAUUUGACGGCAGCCAACCUUGAUGGACAAAAAAGGUAACUGGAGCAGUCCCGUUCUCACACGUUCUUAAGGCAAGGGUGGUGGCGUGAAUUCAUGUCGCAAAUAAAAAUUUGACGGCGGCCAAACUAAAUGGGCAAAAAAAGAAUCCGGAGCAGUCCAGUUCUUACACGUUCUUAAGGCAAGAGUGGUGUGGCGUUGAUUCAUGUCAAUUAAGAAAAACAGUGGCGUUGUUUUGCUAGUUUCUAUCUAAAAUAUAUGCAGAAUAGUUGCUCACAAAUGUCACCUGCUCACAAGAACUUGAUUCAUACAACUAUAUUGAUCUGCUUGUAUCUAAAUCUAAUCAGUAAUCAGUGUCCUGUACCUCAUAUAACAUAUGAAAUCUGAUGUCAACAAUGAAAAUACUAUGGACAGAUACAUAGCUAUGAAAUUGAACCAACUGACCCAAUCUGGUGCAUACAAGUCCAAAGUUUUACCAAAUGUAUGAGCAACUAUAUGCAUCAAGCUUCAGACUACUUUUCACAAUUCGAUGGGCGGCAUAGCAUGCUACAUAGAAACAAAUCGUAGCUGGCACACAUGAAAAUACAACUCAUAUGGAACUGGUGGUUCAAGAACUACACAAGAAAAAUACAAGCUCGUAUGGAACCGGUGGUUCAAGAUCAGGGAUGGUGAAGCCAUGAACUGAAAAGAAAAAUAUGGGGGAAGGAGGAGGGGGCAAACCCUUGAUCAGAUGAGAUAGUAACGUCCGCGGAACCGUUGCCGCCGACGUCGCCGGAGGGGAUCGGAGCUUGGAGGAGGAGGGGAGAUCUGGGGAAGGAGAACGGUGACGGCCGCGGUCCGUCGCCGUCGCUGGACGGGCGGAGCUUGGAUCCUCAGCACUGGAGGGAGGGGGUCGGGAGCGUCGCUUCUUGUCACCGGCGGAGGAGCUCGGAGGCGGUCGAGGGCGCUAGAUCUUGGUCGACGGCGUUGCCGUUCGCUCGUCUCGCUCGAGCCGUGGAUUUCCUCCCCGAGCUCUGGGGUCGUGGGUUUCCUCCCCGUGGAAAGGACG
rnacentral:lncRNA from 1 species